UACGUAGGGUGCGAGCGUUGUCCGGAAUUAUUGGGCGUAAAGAGCUCGUAGGCGGUCUGUCGCGUCGAUCGUGAAAACUUGGGGCUUAACCCUGAGCUUGCGGUCGAUACGGGCAUGACUGGAGUUCGGCAGGGGAGACUGGAAUUCCUGGUGUAGCGGUGAAAUGCACAGAUAUCAGGAGGAACACCGGUGGCGAAGGCGGGUCUCUGGGCCUUACCUGACGCUGAGGCGCGAAAGCUAGGGGAGCAAACAGG
rnacentral:rRNA from 1 species